rnacentral:rRNA from 1 species
GACGUAGGGCGCAAGCGUUGUCCGGAAUUAUUGGGCGUAAAGAGCUCGUAGGCGGCUUGUUGCGUCGACUGUGAAAAACCACGACUCAACCGUGGGACUGCAGUCGAUACGGGCAGGCUAGAGUUCGGUAGGGGAGACUGGAAUUCCUGGUGUAGCGGUGGAAUGCGCAGAUAUCAGGAGGAACACCGAUGGCGAAGGCAGGUCUCUGGGCCGAUACUGACGCUGAGACGCGAAAGCGUGGGGAGCGAACAGG